GUGAGGAAUAUUGCGCAAUGGAGGCAACUCUGACGCAGCCAUGCCGCGUGCAGGAAGAAGGCGCUACGCGUUGUAAACUGCUUUUAACCGGGAAGAAACCCCAGGACGUGUCCUGGGUUGACGGUACCGGAGGAAUAAGCACCGGCUAACUUCGUGCCAGCAGCCGCGGUAAUACGAAGGGUGCAAGCGUUAUCCGGAUUCAUUGGGUUUAAAGGGUGCGUAGGCGGAGCGUUAAGUUAGUGGUGAAAUCCUGCAGCUUAACUGUAGACUUGCCAUUGAUACUGGCGCUCUUGAGUGCGCUUGAAGUGGGCGGAAUGUGCCGUGUAGCGGUGAAAUGCUUAGAUAUGGCACAGAACACCAAUUGCGAAGGCAGCUCACUAAGGCGAUACUGACGCUGAGGCACGAAAGCGUGGGGAUCGAACAGGAUUAGAUACCCGAGUAGUCC
rnacentral:rRNA from 1 species